rnacentral:rRNA from 1 species
CACGUAGGAGGCGAGCGUUGUCCGGAAUCAUUGGGCGUAAAGAGCGCGCAGGCGGCUUGGCAAGUCGGGUGUGAAAUCCCGGGGCUCAACCCCGUGACUGCAUCCGAUACUGUCAGGCUAGAGGUAGGUAGGGGAGAUCGGAAUUCCUGGUGUAGCGGUGAAAUGCGCAGAUAUCAGGAGGAACACCGGUGGCGAAGGCGGAUCUCGUGGGCCUUACCUGACGCUCAGGCGCGAAAGCUAGGGGAGCGAACAGG